AGUGAACGCUGGCGGUAGGCCUAACACAUGCAAGUCGAACGGCAGCACAGUAAGAGCUUGCUCUUACGGGUGGCGAGUGGCGGACGGGUGAGGAAUACAUCGGAAUCUACUUUUUCGUGGGGGAUAACGUAGGGAAACUUACGCUAAUACCGCAUACGACCUACGGGUGAAAGCAGGGGAUCUUCGCACCUUGCGCGAUUGAAUGAGCCUAUGUCGGAUUAGCUAGUUGGCGGGGUAAAGGCCCACCAAGGCGACGAUCCGUAGCUGGUCUGAGAGGAUGAUCAGCCACACUGGAACUGAGACACGGUCCAGACUCCUACGGGAGGCAGCAGUGGGGAAUAUUGGACAAUGGGCGCAAGCCUGAUCCAGCCAUACCGCGUGGGUGAAGAAGGCCUUCGGGUUGUAAAGCCCUUUUGUUGGGAAAGAAAAGCAGCAGGUUAAUACCCCGCUGUUCUGACGGUACCCAAAGAAUAAGCACCGGCUAACUUCGUG
rnacentral:rRNA from 1 species